rnacentral:lncRNA from 1 species
GCCAAUGUGAAUAUGUUAAAUGAAUCUUAAAUGCGAAUGACUCGAUUUACGCUAGAGACGGCCAAAUUUGGACGAAUUUUUGCGAGCGGAAAAAUUAAGAUAUUUCGACGACAUUAGACCAGCUAUCGGGAAAAUAUCAGGCAUGAUUUGUUCCCAAAACUACUAAGGGAUGAAAAUUGAAAGAAAUAUAAUGAAAAAUGUUGACAGAUUAAACGAUGAGCCACGCUCACAGUUUCCCUGCAAUAUUUUAUUUCGUCUGGAUGGUUCAGUUAUCUAUCGUGUUUACAGUAAACUUUAAGGUCAUGUCACGCGAGGCAACGUUUGCUGCAACUUCAGAUAUACAGAGCCAAAUGAGUGAGUCAUGUUAUCUAAAACGUAGUUACAGAGAAAUAAUGAACAUGGCCCGCAUUCCACUCUGCCGAAACUUUAUGUACUAUUUAAAACAUGCACAGCAGUGUUUGAUCAGAUAUACAAAGAUACCAGACAAAGCCGAGUAUCUUUAGGUCUGCUAAAACACGCACUGCGAAUGUUUUAAAUUGCUUCAAAAACGAUCGAUCUAGUAAGUUCAUUGGCGAAGUAAUUUUCAAAAAAUACGUUGUGUAAGUCGAGAAAAUCAAAGUUAAAGUUUAUGUAAAUCAAGGGAAAUCUCUAUCACAUACAAAGAU